GAUGAACGCUAGCGAUAGGCUUAACACAUGCAAGUCGAGGGGCAGCAUGGUCUUAGCUUGCUAAGACUGAUGGCGACCGGCGCGCGGGUGCGUAACGCGUAUGCAACUUGCCUCACAGAGGGGGAUAACCCGUCGAAAGACGGACUAAUACCGCGUACACUCUAUUUUGGGCAUCCAAGGUAGAGGAAAUGAAAUUCGCUGUGAGAUAGGCAUGCGUCCCAUUAGCUAGUUGGUGAGGUAACGGCUCACCAAGGCGACGAUGGGUAGGGGAACUGAGAGGUUGAACCCCCACACUGGUACUGAGACACGGACCAGACUCCUACGGGAGGCAGCAGUGAGGAAUAUUGGUCAAUGGGCGAGAGCCUGAACCAGCCAAGUCGCGUGAAGGAUGACUGUCUUAUGGAUUGUAAACUUCUUUUGUAGGGGAAUAAAGAGGGGCACGUGUGCCCCAGUGAAUGUACCCUACGAAUAAGCAUCGGCUAACUCCGUG
rnacentral:rRNA from 1 species